CAAGCGUGGAUGAUGUGGAUUAAUUCGAUGCAACGCGAAGAACCUUACCUACCCUUGACAUGUCCGGAACUUGCCAGAGAUGGCUUGGUGCCGAAAGGGAAUCGGAACACAGGUGCUGCAUGGCUGUCGUCAGCUCGUGUCGUGAGAUGUUGGGUUAAGUCCCGCAACGAGCGCAACCCUUAUCAUUAGUUGCUACGCAAGGGCACUCUAAUGAGACUGCCGGUGACAAACCGGAGGAAGGUGGGGAUGACGUCAAGUCCUCAUGGCCCUUAUGGGUAGGGCUUCACACGUCAUACAAUGGUCGGUACAGAGGGUUGCCAAGCCGCGAGGCGGAGCCAAUCCCACAAAGCCGAUCGUAGUCCGGAUUGUUCUCUGCAACUCGAGAGCAUGAAGUCGGAAUCGCUAGUAAUCGCAGGUCAGCAUACUGCGGUGAAUACGUUCCCGGGUCUU
rnacentral:rRNA from 1 species